UUAUGUACACACCUACGAUGUUAAUGCAGCAGAUCCCAUUGGAGAUCCAAAUUUAAGUGCACUUGGGAUAGAUUAGUACUGGGAUGGGCGACCUCUCGAGAAGUCCUAGUGUUUUACAUGUC
rnacentral:rRNA from 1 species